UACGGAGGGUGCAAGCGCUAUCCGGAUUCACUGGGUUUAAAGGGUGCGUAGGUGGGUAUGUAAGUCAGUGGUGAAAUCCCCGAGCUUAACUUGGGAACUGCCGUUGAUACUAUAUAUCUUGAAUAUCGCGUAGGUAAGCGGAAUAUGUCAUGUAGCGGUGAAAUGCUUAGAUAGGACAUAGAACACCAAUUGCGAAGGCAGCUUACUUCACGAUUAUUGACACUGAGGCACGAAAGCGUGGGGAGCAAACAGG
rnacentral:rRNA from 1 species